rnacentral:rRNA from 1 species
UACGGAGGGUGCAAGCGUUAUCCGGAUUUACUGGGUUUAAAGGGUGCGUAGGUGGGUCUGUAAGUCAGUGGUGAAAUCUUCGAGCUUAACUCGGAAACUGCCAUUGAUACUAUAGGUCUUGAAUUAUCUGGAGGUGAGCGGAAUAUGUCAUGUAGCGGUGAAAUGCUUAGAUAUGACAUAGAACACCAAUUGCGAAGGCAGCUCACUACGGAUGUAUUGACACUGAGGCACGAAAGCGUGGGGAUCAAACAGG